UGUAAGGUUAUACAGAGAGGCAUAUCGCAUCAUGCAUGGGCCCUUUCAUACUGGAUGAGAGCAGGUGCUCCGUUUUUCCCUGAAGUCCAGCUUGCUCUCCAGAAGGAUUCUACCACCCACUUCCGCCCUGGGGACAAUUUACAGAGAGCCGAUUAACCCACCGACCCGCACGUCUUUGGGAUGUAGAAGGAAACCGAAGUACCUGGAGAAAAGCCACGCAGUCACCGGAAGAACCUGCAAACUCCACACAGACAGCACCUGAGAUCAGGAUUGAACCCGGGUCUCUGGCGCUGUGAAGUAGUGUAACUGCCAGCGGUGCUGCCUUGUAAAGCUUCCUCAUUCCUGAUUGCAUUUGUGAAAGAGGCUUUAUGAUGGGAUUUCUUAGCUCAACUUCAAUUUAUGUUAUAGAAAGUGAUAAUAAACCUCUAUCAUGA